UACGGGAGGCAGCAGUCGGGAAUAUUGCGCAAUGGAGGAAACUCUGACGCAGUGACGCCGCGUAUAGGAAGAAGGUUUUCGGAUUGUAAACUAUUGUCUGCAGGGAAGAAACAAGACUGUACCUGCAAAGAAAGCUCCGGCUAACUACGUGCCAGCAGCCGCGGUAAU
rnacentral:rRNA from 1 species